rnacentral:rRNA from 1 species
UACGUAGGGGGGCAAGCGUUGUCCGGAUUUAUUGGGCGUAAAGAGCGUGUAGGCGGUUUGGUAGGUCCGUUGUGAAAACUCGAGGCUCAACCUCGAGACGCCGGCGGAAACCAUCAGGCUAGAGUCCGGAAGAGGAGAGUGGAAUUCCUGGUGUAGCGGUGAAAUGCGCAGAUAUCAGGAAGAACACCCGUGGCUAAGGCGGCUCUCUAGUACGGUACUGACGCUGAGACGCGAAAGCGUGGGGAGCGAACAGG